rnacentral:lncRNA from 1 species
AGGGCAGUGUAUACAUGAUAACUUAUUUUAAUGUUAUUUUAAGCUCCGGUGCAUUUCGUGCCACUGAGCAUGGGUUCAAGAUAGUAUUUAAUAGCCGGACAAAGGUUGUGCCUGAUUCUGGUGAGACGAUUCCAACUAUUGGUUUAUCAUUGAAGCACUGUGCUGAAAUUAGGAUGACACUUGGUGAAUCUGACUUUCUAAUAGGUG